rnacentral:rRNA from 1 species
UGCAAGUCGAACGAGCGAGAGAGAGCUUGCUUUCUCAAGCGAGUGGCGAACGGGUGAGUAACGCGUGAGGAACCUGCCUCAAAGAGGGGGACAACAGUUGGAAACGACUGCUAAUACCGCAUAAGCCCACGACCCGGCAUCGGGUAGGGGGAAAAGGAGCAAUCCGCUUUGAGAUGGCCUCGCGUCCGAUUAGCUAGUUGGUGAGGUAACGGCCCACCAAGGCGACGAUCGGUAGCCGGACUGAGAGGUUGAACGGCCACAUUGGGACUGAGACACGGCCCAGACUCCUACGGGAGGCAGCAGUGGGGAAUAUUGCACAAUGGGGGAAACCCUGAUGCAGCGACGCCGCGUGGAGGAAGAAGGUCUUCGGAUUGUAAACUCCUGUUGUUGAGGAAGAUAAUGACGGUACUCAACAAGGAAGUGACGGCUAACUACGUGCCAGCAGCCGCGGUAAAACGUAGGUCACAAGCGUUGUCCGGAAUUACUGGGUGUAAAGGGAGCGCAGGCGGGAAGACAAGUUGGAAGUGAAAUCCAUGGGCUCAACCCAUGAACUGCUUUCAAAACUGUUUUUCUUGAGUAGUGCAGAGGUAGGCGGAAUUCCCGGUGUAGCGGUGGAAUGCGUAGAUAUCGGGAGGAACACCAGUGGCGAAGGCGGCCUACUGGGCACCAACUGACGCUGAGGCUCGAAAGUGUGGG